AUCUUCAUUAAUUUCUCCCUUCUCUUCGCAUUCUAGUAAUCUUUUCCGAAGCAUAGCAACCACAGGAGGAAACGUCUCAAAAUCACGAGGGGUACAACCUUGUGCUAAUUUACUUCGAAUAUCAGUGUGAAUACUCAACAGAGGUCUCAUUAAUUUAAAAAGAUGGCCCUUUAUAGCAGACAAACUACUAUAAUCUGAUUCCAACUUGAAUUCUCUGAUUAUGUUAAGAUACUCUUCGCACAUAUCAUCGAUUCGUGGGUAUAAAGUCAUGAGAGGUGAUGAGGGAGGUAGAAAAAUACGGGGAUUAUAAAGGCUUCCUUCAGCGGAAAGAACACCGUCGACACCAGUAUAUUUGAUACAACGAUCUAUGUCCUGUGCAUGAAGAAUAUUUCCAUUAGCAAAUAAGACAGUUUCGGAAGGAAGAUUUUUUCGAAGCAUUUGAAUUUGCUCCCAAUCAGCUAUACCAGUAAAAUGUCCCUUCUGUUCUCGAAGACGACCAUGCACCGCCAGAAUGGAAGCACCGGCCUUAAGAAUCAUCUUUGCAUAAUCUAAAGUUUUUUGGGGAUCAGGAAAUAUACGAAUCUUUGCUGUAACAGGAAUAGAAAGCUCCGUAUGUAACUUUGUAAUGAUAGAUUCAAUCAAAUUCCAGUUCUCUUGUAAGAAUGAACCAUAUUUACCUUUUUUUGCAAUUCCCUGAGGACAACCCAGAUUAACGUCUACAGCAUCACAAUAAGGAGCUGCAAUUUUGGCUGCUUUAAGCAUUAUUUCUGGAUCAUUGCCGCAAAAUUGAAUAAUUAAGGGUCGUUCUUCUGGGAUAGUCCUGGUUGAAAAUACUUUGUUUCGAUAAUCUUCGCUUUCACCAAACAAUCGAGAAUGAAACAUUGGGCUAUAACACAAAUCAGCACCAGAUCUUCUCGCCAAUAUGCGCCAAGGUAGUUCACUUUGGUCUACCAUCGGAGCAAGAAUGCGCUUUGGACGCCCAAUUUUAUUGUAAAAAUCCCUUCCAUGAAGCUUUUUUGAAGCCAUUAUUCUGAAAAACAGCUUUUCUCUGAGUUGUACAUUCAAAGAAUUUAUUUUCCUAAAUAUUUCCGAGUUUUAUUUACCGUUGGUGGUAUGCGCUGGGCCAAAAAAAUUUGACGUAUGGGGAAUCUGUGGCAUAGCAAAAGAGGUUAGGCUGCAUACUUUAAGCAAGAUAAAACAUUUAUUAUUAAGGCAGGAUUUUGUAGAUUUGUAGCGAAAGAAUACUCGAUAAAAAAGUUACAAUAAUCUUAAUAACACACUGAACCUAAAUUUCUUACUCUAUAAAAUACCCAAAAAUGUAAAUAUUUGGAAUGCAAGGAUUAUUACUAAACAGGUUCAUAAGAACGAAUAAAAAAUGCAAAUUAUAUUAUUUCAACU